rnacentral:rRNA from 2 species
UACAGAGGUCCCAAGCGUUGUUCGGAUUCACUGGGCGUAAAGGGUGCGUAGGUGGUCGGGUAAGUUUGAUGUGAAAGCUCCGAGCUUAACUCGGAAAUUGCAUUGAAUACUAUUCGGCUAGAGGGUUGGAGGGGGGACUGGAAUUCUCGGUGUAGCAGUGAAAUGCGUAGAUAUCGAGAGGAACACCAGUGGCGAAGGCGAGUCCCUGGACAACUCCUGACACUGAGGCACGAAAGCUAGGGGAGCAAACAGG